rnacentral:rRNA from 1 species
CCUACGGGAGGCAGCAGUGGGGAAUUUUGGACAAUGGGCGCAAGCCUGAUCCAGCCAUGCCGCGUGAGUGAAGAAGGCCUUCGGGUUGUAAAGCUCUUUCGGCUGGGACGAAAAGGUCCGUGUCAACACCACGGAUCCAUGACGGUACCAGCAGAAGAAGCACCGGCUAACUACGUGCCAGCAGCCGCGGUAAUACGUAGGGUGCAGGCGUUAAUCGGAAUUACUGGGCGUAGAGCGUGCGCAGGCGGUUUGCUAAGACAGGUGUGAAAUCCCCGGGCUUAACCUGGGAACUGCGCUUGUAACUGGCAAGCUGGAGUGUGGCAGAGGGGGGUGGAAUUCCACGUGUAGCAGUGAAAUGCGUAGAGAUGUGGAGGAACACCGAUGGCGAAGGCAGCCCCCUGGGCUAACACUGACGCUCAUGCACGAAAGCGUGGGGAGCAAACAGGAUUAGAUACCCUGGUAGUCCACGCCCUAAACUAUGUCAACUGGUUGUCGGGGAAGCAAUUCCUUGGUAACGAAGCUAACGCAUGAAGUUGACCGCCUGGGGAGUACGGCCGCAAGGUUAAAACUCAAAGGAAUUGACGG